AUGAAAUCUCUGUGGCUUUUCCUUUCUCUGUUCUCUGUCCCCACCUGUGUCCUCUCUCAGGUGCAGCUGGUCCAGUCGGGCCCAGGAGCGGUGAAGCCCGGAGAGACCCUCACCCUGACCUGCGCUGUCUCUGGUGUAUCCAUCACUGAGAGCAACUACGUCUGGGAUUGGGUCCGGCAGGGUCCCGGGAAAGGGCUGGAGUGGAUGGGGUACGUGUACAUGUAUAGUGGUGGGGGUACAAACUAUGCCUCGUCUCUCCAAGGCCGACUCACCAUCUCUGGAGACACCGCCAAGAACCAGUUCUCCCUGCAGCUCCGCUCGCUGACAGCUGCAGACACCGCCACCUAUUACUGUGCCAGCUGGAUGGGGGCUCGAGCAGGUUCUGUGUUGGAUCGAUGGAAAGGAACCCCU